rnacentral:rRNA from 1 species
UUAAGCAAACAAGAGCAUAGGGUGGAUGCCUUGGCACUGAGAGCCGAAGAAAGACGUGAUAAGCUGCGAUAAGCUGCGGCAAGGAGCAAAUAUCCUAUAACCCGCAGAUCUCUGAAUGGGGAAACCCACAUGAGCAAACCUCAUGUACCAUACAGUAAAUCCAUAGCUGUAUGGAGGGAACCUGGUGAACUGAAACAUCUAAGUAGCCAGAGGAAAAGAAAGAAAAAAAGGUGAUAUUCACCUAUCGAUAUCCUAAGUAGCGGCGAGCGAAAGGGAUAGAGCCUAAACCAGUGUGCGUGCACAUUGGGGUUCGGACUGCAAAAAAAUGAUUUCUAACUGUUAACAGAACGGUCCUGGAAAGACCGGCCAGAGAUGGUGAAAGCCCAGUAAGUGAAAACAGAAAGAACAUAGCAGAAUCCAGAGUACCACGAGACACGUGGAACCUUGUGGGAACAAGCGGGGACCACCCCGUAAGGCUAAAUACUACUCAGUGACCGAUAGCGCAUAGUACUGUGAAGGAAAGGUGAAAAGAACCCCGGGAGGGGAGUGAAAGAGAACCUGAAACCCUGUGUUUACAAGCUGUGGAAGUAUUAUAUAGGUACAACCGCGUACUUUUUGUAGAACGGUCCGGCGAGUUGCGUAGACUGGCAAGGUUAAGGAUUAGAGAUCUGGAGCCGAAGAGAAAUCAAGUCUUAAUAGGGCAAAGCCAAGCAAUUGGCAAGAAGUCAGUUAACGCAGACCCGAAACCGGGUGAUCUAUCCAUGUCCAGGAUGAAGUUGCCGUAAAAGGCAGUGGAGGUCCGAACGCACAUCCGUUGAAAAGGGUGGCGAUGAGGUGUGGAUAGGGGAGAAAUUCCAAUCGAACCCGGAGAUAGCUGGUUCUCCUCGAAACAGCUUUAGGGCUGGCCUCAUAAGAGUCAAAUGGAGGUAGAGCACUGAAUACCCAAGGGGGCGUCAAAGCUUACCAAAGGUUAUCAAACUCCGAAUGCCAUGAUGAUGAUUUAUGGGAGUCAGACUGCACGAGAUAAGUUGGGCAGUCAAAAGGGAAAGAGCCCAGACCUACAGCUAAGGUCCCAAAGUGUGUGUUAAGUGGAAAAGGAUGUGGGAUCUCAAAGACAGCUAGGAUGUUGGCUUGGAAGCAGCCAUUCAUUUAAAGAGUGCGUAACAGCUCACUAGUCGAGAGGUGCUGCGCCGAAAAUGUCCGGGGCUAAAACACACCACCGAAGCUUAGGAAUCAUAUGAAAAUAUGAUUGGUAGAGGAGCAUUGUUAGACUGUAGAAGCUGUACCGAAAAGGAGCAGUGGAGGGAUAACAAGAGAGAAUGCCGGAAUGAGUAGCGAGAAAGAGGUGAGAAUCCUCUUGGCCGAAUAUCCAAGGAUUCCAGGGUAAAGCUGAUCUGCCCUGGGUAAGUCGGGACCUAAGGCGAGGUCGAAAGACGUAGUCGAUGGAGAGCAGGUGGAGAUUCCUGCACUAUGAUAUGACAGAACUGUGGGGACGUAUGUGGAGAAGAUGAGCCGGGAAAGGAAAAACCGGUGCAAGCGGAAGAGGUGUGUGAGAGGAAAACCCAUCACACAAAAAGCCAAAGCCGUGAAGCGGAACGAAAAAGAGUAGUGAAGCAUGUGAGCCAUGUACCGAGAAAAGCCGCUAUUGUUCAUAUGAUACCCGUACCAUAAACCGACACAGGUGGAUGAGGAGAGAAUCCUAAGGCCGACGGGAGAAGCAUUGUUAAGGAACUCGGCAAAAUGGCCCCGUAACUUAGGGAGAAGGGGUGCCUCUGAGAAGAGGCCGCAGAGAAAAGGCUCAAGCAACUGUUUAGCAAAAACACAGGUCUAUGCGAAACCGAAAGGUGAGGUAUAUGGGCUGACGCCUGCCCGGUGCUGGAAGGUUAAGAGGAGAAGUCAGGAAACGAAGCUUUGAAUUGAAGCCCCAGUAAACGGCGGCCGUAACUAUAACGGUCCUAAGGUAGCGAAAUUCCUUGUCGGGUAAGUUCCGACCCGCACGAAAGGCGUAAUGAUUUGAGCGCUGUCUCAACAAUGCACCCGGUGAAAUUGAAGUGCCAGUGAAGAUGCUGGCUACCUGCGCCAGGACGGAAAGACCCCAUGGAGCUUUACUCCAGUUUGAUACUGGGACUCGGUGCUGAAUGUACAGGAUAGGUGGGAGGCAAAGAGAGAUGAACGCCAGUUCAUAAGGAGCCAAUGUUGGGAUACCACCCUUUGAGUACUGGGUUUCUAACCUACACCCGUAAGCCGGGUGGGGGACAAUGUCUGACGGGGAGUUUGACUGGGGCGGUCGCCUCCGAAAGGGUAUCGGAGGCGCUCAAAGGUUCCCUCAGAAUGGACGGAAACCAUUCAAAGAGCGCAAAGGCAGAAGGGAGCUUGACUGUGACACCGACGGGUGGAACAGGUACGAAAGUAGGACUUAGUGAUCCGGUGGUAAGAAGUGGGACAGCCAUCGCUCAACGGAUAAAAGCUACCCUGGGGAUAACAGGCUGAUCACUCCCAAGAGUUCACAUCGACGGAGUGGUUUGGCACCUCGAUGUCGGCUCAUCGCAUCCUGGGGCUGAAG